rnacentral:lncRNA from 1 species
GCCGAAGAUAUAUCAUACUCCAUCAACGAACUAUAACGAAAAUUCGGAUUCGACCCAUAUAGCGCCUGGAUCCCCUCCACGUCAUCAACUUUAAGAUCCACUUUCUUAGUUCUCGGACUCAAACUUGGGUACAUAAUUGCAUCUUUGACCGACGAAUGGGCCAACCCGAGUAUAUGCCCAAUUUCAUGCGUUGCAACUGAUUCCAAAUCAACGGCCACCUUUGAUUUACUCGAUUUAAAAUCAACGGCCCACGUUUCAGCUUCAUCUAAAUGCAGCCUACCGUUUUCCGGCGAAAAAGCGUGAGCCAAAACCCCCAAAACGCCGUCAAACGGCUCUCCAUCACCGUGGUCGCCUUUAUAAAAUCCGAUUUUUAUAUCGGCGGUUGAGUAAUCAUCUGACUCGGUGAAGUUCACCGGAAUUACAGCCGACCACCGCGAAAAAGACUGCCGGAAAGCGUCUUGGACGUCGUCGGAGCUUAAAUAAUCGAUCAUAUGAUUACCGGAAAAGGCGUACGUUAGCGUCAUGUGCGCCGAUCUCCCCCACCGCGGCUCACCGGAAAAGUAGGCAUAGUGUUUGCUGACGUGGAUAUUAUUAUUAAUAUUACUACUAUUCGUUGAUUGUUUCACGGAGUCGCUCAUACCACAGCGCGGUGACAUUAUUUGUGUAACGGUGACGGCGUCGAGCUUUCCGGUGACCGUAAGUCCGAGGUUUUUCUGGUAGUUUACGACGGCGGAUUCGAAGGUGUCGUCGAAUACGUCCGUGAAGUUGUGAACGACGUCGUUCGGGGUCUGGAGGUAGCCGAAACGGUGGAAGUAUUUUUUAAGCUCGGACAUGCCGGAGAAGUUGGCACCCUUGCCGGCGUCGAUGAAAGUGAGGAAGUUUUGCCACGUGGCGUUUGGUGAGAGGUCGCCGGCUAUUAAACCGCUGGGAAAUGUUCUGGCGGGAAAUAGAUGAAAGAGGAGAGAGAGAGUUAACAGGAAGAGGAUGUUGUUAUAACUGAAAAAACUGAACAUGUUUUCUUACUUGUUAAUCAAUUUGUAUUUUGUAAAGCGUUUUUGAAUUUGAUCAACACCAAUAAUCAAACUAUUUAUAUGCGGAAUAUUGUUAUUUCUAAAUUAAUUUAUUAUUUUUUAAAUGAACGAUUUAAUUUUUUUCCUAAGCUUAAGAAAUAAUAUGAUUAUAACAAUAUAAUUUGUGUUAGGGUGGCGUUAUACAGUGAACACUAGUGUAUUUUCGAACUAAGUGAACAAAUUCUGGCCAUUGAUCUACACACGUGUAUGGCCAGGAUCUCAUCAUCAAAUCGUAAAAUACACUAGUGUAUUUCAACAUCAAAUUCUGGCCAUUGAUCUCCACACGUCUAUGGUCAGGAUUAGUUCACUCAAUUCGCAAACUACACUAGUGUUCACUCUUGAACCUAAUCCAUUUAUGUUAUUAUUAUUAUGUUUAUAAAACAAAAUGUGAAGAUUCCUCGAUCCUUUUCUCCUAUAUGAUACUGACUAGUUUUCGAUGGGGAUGUUCUAUGAUGGCUGAAGCUCUUAUCGUCUUUUUAGUAAAUUUAAUACGGCUUAUUGUUAUUUAUGUUUAUUUUUAG